rnacentral:lncRNA from 1 species
CAGCCCACGCACGACAUCCUUUGCCGUUGCUGGUCGUGUGUGGUCGUGCAGUGGCAAGUCAACCCCUGAAGCCCCUCCUGCCAUGCUCCGUCUGAUGGUGUCGUGCGCAGGCGGCAUUGGCAGCGCUGCAAGGUGCUGCGUGUGGGCAGCAGAACUACUCGCCGGCGCUGGACGCCCUCAAGUGCUGCGCGGACCGCCUGCCUGUCUCCCUGCAGCUGCUGGACACCUAUGCCACCAGUGACCGGGACACGGCCCUGGCGCUGAUGCGCGGCGAGCUGUGCGUGGCCGCCCUGACGGCGCUGCACCCGCUCAGCAGCGGCGAGGCCUCCUCGACCGCCACACAGCUGCAGGUGGACCGCCUGCUGCCGCUGCGCGUGUGUGCAGAGGCCGGCGGCGGUAAAGGCGGCAGCAACAGUCGCAGCGGCAGCGGAGGCGGCGACGGCGACGGCGACGGCGACGGCAGCGGCGACGGCGACGGCAGCGGCGACGGCAACGGCAGCAGCAGUGGGGGCGGGGACGGCGACGGCGACGGCGGCAGCACAUCUGGGCCCCGUGUUGGACCCGGGGUCACGGCCGUGCUGGAGAUCCAGGAGAUCAAGUCCAGCAGCGCAGGUGCGUGGGUGUUGCGAGUGGGCUUGAAGACAUGGACCGGGCAUGCAUAGGCGGGGCGACCGUAUACAUGGAAAGCGCACGCCCGCCCAACAGCUGGAGCGUUCCCUUGGCCCAAAUCAUGGCGCCGCGUGCACGUGUAGGCUUUUUGUGAUUGUGUUCGCGGUAUGUGCGCGUUGUCUGGGCAUCGGUCAACUUAAUCAACUCCAGAAUCGUUCGUCCACUUUCAUGGAAUCUCAGGCGGUUGAGGCUCUUUAACAUGCUCCCUGGCCCGGUACAACACAGGUCUUCCGACGGCGCGGGCGCAAGUGGCCCGGUGCGGCCGCAUCUUUGCGUGCGUGUAUAGCGUCCUACGGGAGCGGCUGUCGGAGGCGUUGGCCAACGCCGAGGUGCAGCUGCCGCCGACGCUGCGGCUGCAGGCCACGAUCGCGCUCGGCCAGGACGGCGAGGCCGGAGCCAGUGAGGAGCAGCGCCCGCCGCAGCUGGAGCUGUCCACCGCCGACGGCGGCUGGACCCUGAUGCAGAUGCAGUACUUGGUCCUGGCGGCGGAGACGCUGGUGCCCUGGGUGCCGGGCCGGCAGCAGUGAGCGGGCGGGCCUCGGCCUCGGCAGUGGAUGGCUGGGGGGCACGGGACGACCAGGCAGCGGCGGUGGCACUCGGCACGCCUGCUGCAACCGUGUCACGCAGCAUACCUAGCAAUCAAGCGGCCAGCCGUUGAUGCUCACGCUGCCGCUAGCUGGGCUGCGGCGCGCUGUGGCGGCGGCAGCAGCGGCGACCGGGCAGUGGGCGCUGCUCACAGCUUCUUUGGGGUGUACGGCGGUGCUGGCGGCGUGGUCCACGGUCGUGGGCGGUGGUUGGGACCGCAGACACAGCUGGCGCGGUGAUGUAGCGAUGUACACGAGGCGAGGGCUUCUGAGACUGAUCGCUGUGUUGCUUUCCCCGACAGUGCCACGGCACGGCAGGGGCUUUAGGGUGGAGGGUAAGUGUGUGAGGAGAGCGAGGGAGUUCUUUUAUGUGCGGCACGUCUUGAAGGUGUUUGCUCGUGUAGCGGCUUGUGCGAGGGUAAGGCACGUUCGUGUUAGAUACACCGUUGACUUCAAUGUGUCUGACCCAUACUGGCGGGCGUUGUGCCACCAGAGAACCCGGGGCACCACCACAAAGGCCCCGGGAGUGCCGCCAGGAACGCAUACAUCUGUUUGUUCUGGCGCAAUUUGCAAAGACAGUAUGCAGGAUUGACCUUUUAAAUGCCUGGUUUUUACUAUGGCGCUGUGUUUGUAUGUGCAUCCCACCACCCCCUCACUGCAUUACAAACACAGCGCCAUAGUAAAGACCAGGCAAUGAAAAGGUCAAUCCUGCAUGCUGUCUUUGCAAACCAGAGCCAGAGCAAACAGAUGUAUGCGUUCCUGGCGGCGCUUCCGGGGCCUUUGAACACGUACAUCUGUGGACUUGAAUACUUGAUUUAAAUGGUCAAGCCUGCAUUCUGCCUUUGCAAAUUGAGCCUGAGGAACGGAAGCAAACAGAUGUAUGUAUUUUUUUGGUUUUUACUCUGGCGAUGUGUUUGAAAUGCAGUGAGAGGGUGGUGGUGUGGUCAUACUGUCUGCGUGCCCACUUUUUGCACUGCCGGGGUUGGGUAGGCCUGCUGUUUGCUGCACAUGAUGCAAUGGAUGGCGGUGGAGCGCGGCGGCGGCGCACGGCCUGUGCCCAGCAGCGGCGGCGUGCAUGUGCGUAGCAGAGGGGGCAGGCAUGGCCACGUGGAGGAGGAGAGCGGUGCGCUGCCUGAGCAGCGGCGCAGGCGGGCAGGUUGAGAACGCUGGUCUUUGUGGCGAGCAUAGCGUACAUAGCGUAGCGAUUUAUUGCUAUUUGGUUUGUUGCCGGCUGUGCUUGUACUUGGCAGCGGGGUGCGGCUCGACACAUGGCGGGUGGUGCCUGUACGAACCGACCCCGGCUGUGUCCGGGAGAUGAGGUAGUUUCGAAACCUUCGGCCUCGGACAUUGCACCAACGUGGCGUGGCCGCACAGCUCAAUUUUCCCCUGGAGACCUGUCUUGUCCGCACCCGUGGUUGUUGGCUUCCAGGAGUGGCAUGACUCCUUGACGGGUCUACCAAGUGGUGCAGGCUGCUAAGACAGCUUGUGACGGCGUUCUGCCUUUGAGAGAAGUCAGUGUUGUGCUUGAGGGGGCGAUCACUCCCAUUGCAUAGAUGAGAGUAGCUGAGCCGUGCUGGGCAGGCGGGCGAGGGGGAGGGGGAGGGGCGGUGGCGGACUGGAGGUAGGACUGGAGGUAGGGGAGGAGGUAGGGCAGGAGGUAGCGGCGGUAGCGGAGGCAGGAGCACUGGGUGGAGGUGGAGCGCUGGCACUGGCGCAGGCGGGGGCUUUUGAGGGUCAGAUCCAAAGGGGUGCAGGCGACGGCAUUUUGAUUUGCGUGUCGGCACGGCGUGUUUACUUGAAUGCAGUCAGGUGGAGGCAAGGCUUGACGUGUAUUGAGUGAUUCGGUUAUGCGGACAGUCACGCGGAAACGCGGGUGUAGCGCCGAGCUGGGGGACACGAGGCGCCGAGCCGGGGGUGCGGGGCGCCAGUCCAGAGCAGGGGGCUAUCGUCGCGAGGCCCUAGGCAUCGCGGAUGAGACAGGUAAGGCCAGCACGCCACACAUUCCGGUGGAGCGCGGACAUGACUUUGCUUAAUUACCCGCAUUGCUGCGUCGCAAACGCUCUUUCAGUCAGUGCCAACGAUACUGUCCCGCGCGGUUGCGCAAUCUUACGUUCUUUCCUGCGCGAACAAAACGGCAGCCCUUAGGAUACCUAUUAAAUGUGAUUCGUCUCACCACUCGCACAUUUUACCACAGGCCUACAGCUCGUCGCUGGCUGGCCUAUGUUGCUGACGCGGCUGAGUCGACCCGCGGCAUCAGGUAUGCUUCUGCGUGCUUAUACUAUUCACGUCGGCGACAUAGGCCAGCGCCCCGAGCCAGCGACAACCCGCCGAUGGUAAAAUGUGUGCGAGUGGUGAGAUGAAUCACAUUCAUUAGGAUCCUAAGGGCUGCCGUUUCGUUCGCGCAGGAAAGAACGUAAGAACGCGCAACCGCGCGGACAGUAUCGUUGGCACUGACUGAAAAAGCGUCGUAUGCUGACCAGCCGAGGCCCAGGCGUGCCGGGCAUGCGCCCAACUUCGCAUGGGCGGCAUGGCGCCUGCCUUGGUUCACACCGGCGUGGAUGUGGAACGGCGAGCCACGGGCGCGCCUGGCGCGUCGUGGCCGCGUGCCACCUGCCCGAGGGGAGCGCGGGAGCCACCCCGGGAGUCGGGUGAGUCGGCGCCUUUUGCAGCGCCCACUGCUGUGACAUACUUCGCGAGUGCAUGCUCGCAAGUAACAGCACCGAAUGCACCCUGCACGCAGGUCGCCGCCUGCAGCUGCAGCAGGGCAGGUGGGAAGACCCAGGGGACAAACUUUGCAACGCUUCUCAAGAAGGGCGUGUACGGUAGUGCGCGCAGGGGUCAAAUUCGUGAUUUGACUGCCCGAGUAUCGCCGGACAGCUUCGUCUCUCCUGUCCCCAUGACCCACUCGCAUGUCGCUUGCUGCUUUUCACUCGUUGCUCACGUUGAACUUUGCAUGCAGGAUUCAAUGCAGCGGUUCGCGGCGAUGCUCGAUCGGAAGCUGAACCCUAUCAAGACAAGCCUUCAAGAAAUGAAGAAAAGCCUUCACCAGGUUGAAAGCUUUAGCGCAAUACUAGUGGAGGCCGUCGCGGGCAGGGCGCUGCGUGAUCGCGAGCAGCAGAAGCAGGAGGCGGCAAGCGUGGUCCUGAAGGAUGCGGCCAGUGUGGUGAACUGCGUGCUGCCUCCCGGGCUGCCGCCACACGUGCACGAGGUGGCGGCAGGCAAGCUGGCGGCCUGGCUGGUAGAGGAGGUAGGCCGUGACCUCGAGUUGGUGGGCGGGGCGCAGGGCAUCAGUAUGCUGCCUCACCUGUCAGCAGAGCGAGGGUAUUGGCGUGCAUGUGAUGCAUGCCCCAGGGGCAUGUAUGGAUGCCCGAUGGGUGCCUAGACAGGCACAGUCCGUGCUGGCCGUCUCUGCCCUACCGCGCCAUGUAACAGCGCCGCACCCGCCAUGCAGGACCGGGGCCUACGCGCUAUCCUGGAGUCGGAGCUGCGUGCGGUCCCCUCCAGGCUCACCAAAAAAGCAAACGCGCAGUGGAAGGCGGCAGCGGCGAGUGCCGCCCAGGUGUGCUGUUGUGCGAGCAUGUGUGCAUGGAUUCAUCAAAAGCAGUUGGCAAAAGGCCAAACGCCGGGCGUUGCUCCAGCGGCAUAUGGCACUGCCUCUGUAGAUUUCAGCCGCGAGCCAGCCCACGCACGGCAUCCAUGCCGUUGAAGGUCGUGCGUGGUCGUGCAGGGGCGAGUAAACCCCUGAAGCCCCUCCUGCCAUGCUCCGUCUGAUGAUGUCGUGCGCAGGCAGCAUUGGCAAUACUGCAAGGCGCUGCGUGUGAUCAGCAGAACUACUCGCCGGCGCUGGACGCCCUCAAGUGCUGCGCGGACCGCCUGCCUGUCUCCCUGCAGCUGCUGGAAACCUAUGCCACCAGUGACCGGGACACGGCCCUGGCGCUGAUGCGCGGCGAGCUGUGCGUGGCCGCCCUGACGGCGCUGCACCCGCUCAGCAGCGGCGAGGCCUCCUCGACCGCCACACAGCUGCAGGUGGACCGCCUGCUGCCGC